rnacentral:rRNA from 1 species
AUUGAACGCUGGCGGCAGGCCUAACACAUGCAAGUCGAACGAGUGGCGGACGGGUGAGUAAUGCUUGGGAAUCUAGCUUAUGGAGGGGGAUAACUACGGGAAACCGUAGCUAAUACCGCGUACCAUAGGAUGAGCCCAAGUGGGAUUAGGUAGUUGGUGAGGUAAAGGCUCACCAAGCCGACGAUCGCUAGCUGGUCUGAGAGGGUGACCAGCCACACUGGGACUGAGACACGGCCCAGACUCCUACGGGAGGCAGCAGUGGGGAAUAUUGCGCAAUGGGUGCAAGCCUGACGCAGCAAUGCCGCGUGAAUGAAGAAGGCCUUCGGGUUGUAAAGUACUUUCAGUCGGGAGGCGUUACCGACAGAAGAAGCAACGGCUAACUCCGUGCCAGCAGCCGCGGUAAUUC